rnacentral:pre_miRNA from 14 species
UACUGUUAACAUCUUACCGGGCAGCAUUAGAUUUAUUAUUCAGUUCUAAUACUGUCAGGUAAAGAUGUCCUCCUU